GUUUCAACCAUUUCUUUAGAAGAACAUGUGCUAGCUCAGCAUAAAAAAAAAGUUAGAAAGCUAAAUUGAAGGGAGCUCUGGCUUUAUAAUCCUAUCUUUCCCCAUUGGAAUUCGCUGAGGAAUGUACUUCAACUGCACCCAAAUCAUGUCCUCUUUAAAGGGAACCAGUUGGUGAACUACAAUUUUGCCUUUUGAUUCUAAAUGUUGCAGACCAGCAUAUUCCAAGGUCCCAGCUGAGCGAAUGAAAACAUUUGGGAGUUCAACGGGGAAAAGCCACUUGUUAAGACUCUCCCACCACUGUAGAAAGAGAGCCCUGAACCUGUACAAAACUUCUUAACUUGUAUGCAUCAAAGAAUGUUUGAUAUGAGAUGUAAACGUAAAUUGCGCAUGUAACCUGCAAUUUCAAGUGUAGUGAGACAUCUAAA